CCGUAAGGGGUGAACCUGCGGAAGGAUCAUUA
rnacentral:rRNA from 1 species